AGAGUUUGAUCAUGGCUCAGAUUGAACGCUGGCGGCAUGCUUUACACAUGCAAGUCGAACGGCAGCACGGGGGCAACCCUGGUGGCGAGUGGCGAACGGGUGAGUAAUAUAUCGGAACAUAUCCGGAAGUGGGGGAUAACGUACCGAAAGGUACGCUAAUACCGCAUAUGCCCUGAGGGGGAAAGGAGGGGAUCGUAAGACCUUUCGCUUUCGGAGUGGCCGAUAUCGGAUUAGCUAGUUGGUGAGGUAAAGGCUCACCAAGGCGACGAUCCGUAGCUGGUCUGAGAAGACGACCAGCCACACUGGAACUGAGACACGGUCCAGACUCCUACGGGAGGCAGCAGUGGGGAAUUUUGGACAAUGGGGGAAACCCUGAUCCAGCCAUGCCGCGUGAGUGAAGAAGGCCUUCGGGUUGUAAAGCUCUUUCAGCCGGAAAGAAAGCGCACAGGUUAAUACCUUGUGUGGAUGACGGUACCGGAAGAAGAAGCACCGGCUAACUACGUGCCAGCAGCCGCGGUAAUACGUAGGGUGCGAGCGUUAAUCGGAAUUACUGGGCGUAAAGCGUGCGCAGGCGGUUUUGUAAGACCAAUGUGAAAUCCCCGGGCUUAACCUGGGAACUGCAUAGGUGACUGCAAGGCUAGAGUACGGCAGAGGGGGGUAGAAUUCCACGUGUAGCAGUGAAAUGCGUAGAUAUGUGGAGGAAUACCGAUGGCGAAGGCAGCCCCCUGGGUCGAUACUGACGCUCAUGCACGAAAGCGUGGGGAGCAAACAGGAUUAGAUACCCUGGUAGUCCACGCCCUAAACGAU
rnacentral:rRNA from 1 species